rnacentral:rRNA from 1 species
AUUGAACGCUGGCGGCAUGCUUUACACAUGCAAGUCGAACGGCAGCGCGGGCUUCGGCCUGGCGGCGAGUGGCGAACGGGUGAGUAAUACAUCGGAACGUGCCCAGUAGUUGGGGAUAGCUCGGCGAAAGCCGGAUUAAUACCGCAUACGACCUGAGGGUCAAAGCGGGGGAUCUUCUGACCUCGCGCUAUUGGAGCUGCCGAUGGCAGAUUAGCUAGUUGGUGGGGUAAAGGCCUACCAAGGCGACGAUCUGUAGCUGGUCUGAGAGGAGGACCAGCCACACUGGGACUGAGACACGGCCCAGACUCCUACGGGAGGCAGCAGUGGGGAAUGUUGGACAAUGGGCGAAAGCCUGAUCCAGCAAUGCCGCGUGUGUGAUGAAGGCCUUCGGGUUGUAAAGCACUUUUGGCGGGAACGAAAAGGAAUGUGCCAAUACCACGGUUCGAUGACGGUACCCGCAGAAUAAGCACCGGCUAACUACGUG